rnacentral:tRNA from 1 species
GUUCUCCGGGCGCCGCGGGGUCGGGCGCGGGCGCUACCGCCGCCCGGCCUGGGGCAGCGCCCGCGGCUCCGGCAGCCGCCGAGGGGCG